UUUGCUACAAAUAUUUUACAUUUAUUAUAAGAAUACAAUAAAGAGGUUCUGCAGACACAUGAGUGGUAAUUGGUCUAUUGGAAAAGAAAAGGCAAUUCAAAAAUGAUCUAAGUUUACAAAAAGAUGAAAUCAUGCUUUAAAAACGUAGAAACAAUUUAAAAAUAUCCUACAAUGUUAGCCAAAGUUCAAAGUGUAUUCUUUUGAAUGUAAAAACUAACAAAUAAAUAAGUGUUAAAUACAGAUCUGAGUUAAAAUGAUAAAAGAUAGACAACCAACUGCUUUAUAUAUUUAGCUUUCAUCCAUUUUUCAGACUUGUUUAUAAAGCCAGAUAAACCCGCCAAAGCCUUGUGUUUUCCACUGAACUUUCCAGAAGAAGCACCCUAUUUCCAGUGUUUAUCCACUUCACAAAUAUAUUAUCUUAAAACAACAAAAAUGAUUAAAGGUGCUUUAGCCUGACAUUAAAUGGACCAUAAAUUGGCAAACCACAGCAGUGCUUUGCUCAAAAUGCUGCUUGCAGGUGGAAUGUCUUGACCAGAAGUGCCUUAGGGCCUCACUCCUACUCCAUUAUCUCAAACGCAUCUAUCAAAGGGAAAAGGGAGGAACUUAGAAAAAUCAUAUUUCCACAACCAGUCACUAUGAGAGCCCUAGCCUAGCGGGUCACCCACAGUCAAAUGGCAUGGGCACCAUUUGUACAUUUUGUCCUGGCUUUCAGUUUGCUUGGGUUCCGGAAGAAGUCAGGGCUGUUGCUGGCACGUUGACAGCCUGAUUUUAUUCUUCCACGUUUUUCCUCUGGGCUUUCCCAUAUGGUUCUAUGUCUACGACUUUAUAUAGUGUUCCAAUCUUUUAGGGCCCUUGCCAGAAGCAGCUAGACAAAACCAAGAAAAAAAAAGAAAACCAUAACAUAAAGCCAGCAGAAUCUGCACCACCACCAACCCCCAUUCGGAUGCUCAAUUAGGCCAUCUAACUUAAUACAUUUAAAUGUAAAUUUAUGUAAAAUCUAUAGGCAUCUGACUAAAGAAACUGUUUCAGUGGGAAACCUCAGUGCUCUGUAAAGAAUGAUGAACAGAAAUGGCCCAUAAAUAUGCUCCUGGCCACUGGUCCACACUGACAGUCUGAUCACAUCACAGGACAGAACUGGGUAGCUGACAUUUUGUAUAGUCAAGUGAAAUGCUCAGCAGGUGUAAGAGUUUCAUGUCUUUGGCCACUUUGGUCAUGGAUUUGAAAUAACUGAGACCCCUCUCGACCAGUUCCCCUUUAUCUUUGAUUUGAUUUGAUGCUUAGAAUCUAUAUUGGGGAUUGAAUUUAGAGUCAUAGGAUUAUAAAAUUUACUUGUUAUGGGAAAUCAGACGAACCUUGUAGAACCAAUCUCUUUGACACUAAAGCCAAAAAUAGUGAAUUCCAUUGGAACAUGUACAUAUUCU
rnacentral:lncRNA from 1 species